GAGUUUGAUCCUGGCUCAGGACGAACGCUGGCGGCGUGCUUAACACAUGCAAGUCGAACGGGGCUCAUGCAGUAGCAAUACUGCGGAAAGCCGAGUGGCGAACGGGUGAGUAACACGUGAGAAACCUAUCCUGGUCUCUGGGAUAACAGCUGGAAACAGCUGCUAAUACCGGAUGCCGUCGGAGCACUGCAUGGUGCACUGACGAAAGGGUUACCGGAUCAGGCGGGUCUCGCGGCCUAUCAGCUUGUUGGUGGGGUAACGGCCUACCAAGGCAUCGACGGGUAGCAGGUCUGAGAGGAUGAUCAGCCACACUGGGACUGAGACACGGCCCAGACUCCUACGGGAGGCAGCAGUGGGGAAUCUUGCGCAAUGGGCGAAAGCCUGACGCAGCAACGCCGCGUGCGGGAAGAAGGCCCUCGGGUUGUAAACCGCUUUCAGAAGGAACGAAACUGACGGUACUUUCAGAAGAAGGUGCGGCCAACUACGU
rnacentral:rRNA from 1 species